AGGCUGGGGAUCUGUCCUGGGGAAGGGGAAAAGCCGGGCUGUGAUGCGCUGCUCACCCCACCCCUGCAUUUCCCUCUUGGUGGUCCCACUCAUGAGGCAGAAAUGGAGGCCGUAGCUGGGGUGGCUCCGAGGGCAGGGCCGGCCGCCUGCGCUCAGCACCAAGGACCUCAACAGCUCUGGCUUCGGCUGGGGACAUCAGCCCGCUGGGUCUCCCUGGGAGGAGGGACUUUUGAAAAGUUUUGGUGAUGCCCAAUGGGCACAAACCAAGGCGGGGGGGGCGGGUUGACUCCCCAGGAGCCGUCCUGCUCAGGACAUGGUGCUCCUCCCUGGGGUGACACCUCAGGCUCCAGCCUGCAGGGGCCGGGACACGGCCCUUUGCCUGUUGCUCAGGUCUGCAGACACUGGGGCACUGCAGGCCCCCCGGAGGGGCAGGGCCCUCUCACUCAGGCCAGGACCAGAGGAAGAAGGUCGCGGGAGGUUAUGAGCAUCAGAGACGAAACCUGAGGGCCAGAGGCCAGGCCAGGUAGGCCAGACCUGCCUGGGGUAAGCAGAGGACACCUACAGCCCUCCCCUCUGGCUCGAGUCAGGAAGGUUUUGCUGCAAGAGGGAGAGAAUAACUGGGCCUGGAACACUAAAAGGGGCCAAAUGCUCUGUGAAGGUUAAAGGGAGACAGGGAGGAGGAAGCGCGAACGACACACGCACACACUCUCCUGGGGAAAUAUUCAUCCAUUUAAGGAAGGGGAGCUCAUCACACUAGCAUCAGGUCUAUAUACAGUAAGACGGGGCCCCUUCUCCUCCCGCGAUCCGGCUUGUGUCGCCCGUCAGGCCCAGAGCCCAGGGAAGCCUGCAGCUCGGGGUGAGGAACAGUGGAAGCCGCCGGGAAGGGCAGUGGGCCCGGGAAGGCAGGGGCUGGCGCGGCAGGCCCAGCCAAGGGGCUGCCCGGGGCCUCCCCAGCACCCCCCACACCCUUCCCUAGGCUUUGGCUGAGACCCUCCUCUUUGGGACGGUGAUGAGCAGACAGGGAGCCAUGGCCAGGAGUUAAAUAGCGGCAACUCGUAUUUAUUACAAUUAUAUACAGUUGUAUAUUAUAGUCUGAA